UGAGGGACAAGUCUAAGAAUCUCAGGGCA
rnacentral:piRNA from 1 species